rnacentral:tRNA from 1 species
GGACAGGUAGCUGAGACGGAUUAGCGACUGGUUGAAACCCAUUAGAGAGUGGAUCGUUACCACUCCUGUCCA